rnacentral:rRNA from 1 species
UACGGGGGGGGCAAGCGUUGUUCGGAAUUACUGGGCGUAAAGGGCUCGUAGGUGGCCGACUAAGUCAGACGUGAAAUCCCUCGGCUUAACCGGGGAACUGCGUCUGAUACUGGACGGCUUGAGUUCGGGAGAGGGAUGCGGAAUUCCAGGUGUAGCGGUGAAAUGCGCAGAUAUCAGGAGGAACACCAACAGCGAAGGCAGCACUCUGGGCCGGUACUGACGCUGAGGAGCGAAAGCAUGGGGAGCGAACAGG